AUUUUUCUCUGUCAUCCUGUUUCCCAUAGACGACAAUAAAGUUUCUACACUACCUGUUUUAGUAGCUAAUUAAAGAGAUGAGUUGCCUGUACCUGGCAGCUUAGACAUAUUUAUUCGCCAGCACAGGGAGAGCUACCCCUGCAUAUGCAGCAGCAAACAAAACCUUUUAGCAGAACUCCUCAUCUCCGGGCGGCGGGGAGGGAGCGCGAUGUCACGGGCGGAGCGGGCGCACGGGGCUGGCCGGGGGCACUCACCUGCCCCGCCGCGGCCGGGGGUGUCCCUGCCCGCCGGGGCCCCUCCCCAGCCCGCCCGGCCGCGAAGUUUGGCGAGGAAAGUUUCUGUGUAGGCACCGCUGCGGAAGAGCGUCCCGGGAGCGGCGGGAGCGGCGGCAGGCGACUUCCAUGGGACUGCUCGCUGACUCCCAGGAGUGCUUCAGACAGCGAGAUGUCCAGCAGCUGUAGGAUGAAACCCUCGAAACUGAAUAUUCUGGUGAACUGGUGAAGUUCCAGACCUGAUGCUUUCAGUGUCUUCUCUAUUCUCUGUAAGUAGCCAAAACGUUCCAUGAUGCUGAUGUGU
rnacentral:lncRNA from 1 species